GGAUCCACAUUGCGAACUCUCGAUUUAGUACCAAUUUAGAAGGUGAACAAAUGUGAGCGCUAUAUCGAGGUUUGAGUUACUGUACACCAAUUCGUAUGCUUACAAGAAUAUUUAGUUAAUAACUCAGUUAAUAGAAAUUUGUGAACUGGAGCAAAGUUUCUUUCUACGGAAUGGGAACCCCGUAAUAAUGGCAAUCUAACAAUACACCGAAUGGAUACCUACUACAAUUAACUCAUUGUUUUGAAUGUAAUUUUACUUAUUAAAUUAAAUUUCGUGCUGUCAUUCUCUGUUCUUUUCGCUUAUUUCACGUGACAAACUUGACACAGAUUCGAAAUAUACACAGGAGAGGAAUUUCUGACAAAAUUAUCCUUUUUAAAUUCAGAAUUUGUGUGGAAAAUUCUUUACUUUUUACUCAGCAGAAAGGAAAUCUGAAGUGUUAAUUUAGAGAAGCAAUUAUUUUUAAUUGUCUGAGUGUUGUUUUCUUCCAGCUGCUAGAGUUUUAGGGUCACUUGCAACGUGUUGAAACCUUGUUACAUGUCACGAACUUUAAUAUGGCAAAUUAAAUUAACUCACUGGAUCACUUCGGGAGGAAAACAAUAAUUAAUGGAUCGUAUGGCCUUGGCAGUUUCCGAACCCGGUUUCGCAGACAAUUGUUGAACUCUCCUGAACGAGCCGGAUGUAAUAAAUCUACUUCUAGCUUUACCAUCUACUUUCAAGAUCUAAAAGUUAAAAGAAUGUCGUUAGGUGCAUCGGCAAGGAUUAUAUCCAAGGUUUCGAGAUCCAUGCAUUGCUCCAGGACCAUUUUUAAGGAUUUCGUACACUGUAAUGCAAAAAUUGUUUUCAGUAAAUAAUAAAAAAGAAUUC